UGCAGGUCUCGUCUUACCACUUCGGUGAAACCCACGAGCAUGGGUAUGGUGCUGACAAACCUAGAUUUUUAACAUAAUCGGGGCGAACCGGAAUUCGAACCCGCAAUCACAGAUUACUGGUGUGUCGGAGCGGCCCCACUGACGACUGGGCCCCUGAAUGUGGAUAAGUAAGACUAGAUAAUUUCUCUGAUCGGGGGUCAUGCUUAGUGACUUUGUUAACAGCGUGGCGUCCUACCCCAACGAAGUGGAUCAUUGCUCGUGAUACUGAUCAUUGGAUUGUCUGGUCCAGACACGAUUGUUUGCAGAACGCCGUCAUGUGGCGGGAGUGCUGCUUGGUGCGGCGUUGGGUAGCAGGCAAACACUUACUUUCUUGUGAAAAUUGUGCUUCCGGCAGAGAAGGACAUUCUGCCCCCCAUUGCGACUUUUCAGUGAUCCAUUCAGAUAAUUGUCAUCACUAUUACGCCCAAUGGAAUUUCUUUCGGGUAUAAUCGAGACUAGUUAUUUUCUGACGUUCAGGUUUUGCAUUCACUAUUGUAAUAGUGUUCCGUGAUGUUUGGCAAAGAUUUUGCAUUCAAAAAAGUAAACAUACUGUGAUAUAUGCACGCUAAACAUAACGUACAAGGGUGUUUUGGUUAUCUGUGUGCAGCAGGCCGAGGAUGGGUAGCACUGCCUGUGACGGCUUCAUUGGAGCAAAAAACGUCCCCAACGCAUGACACGAUAUGGGCGGUAAAUGCCACAUUGUCACAUCCAAGACCAACUGAAACACCACCCACACCAACGGCGACACCAACGACGAAAACGACACCAACCAUUACAACAACUCAUGAUGCCUAUGCGGCUACUACAACCCCUGUCUCCACUGCACAGUCACCGGCCACUACAGCCGUUGAGAUGACUACUACAAGUUCUACUACCUAUACUCUGACAACAAAAUGACAAGUACGCUCAACAAGAGUUGUACUUCACCCAGGAAGUGUCAUGUGUGUACGUCCAGAAAUGCCCGGUGUCCAGUGCACGGCACCAUGGCUGGAACUGACCCCGGUGAACUCAUGUCAUGUCCAUGUGCUACCGGCUGCUACUCCGAUGUCAGAUACAACGACGGGAAUGUUGUGUAUCGAGGAUGCACCCAAGACUUUCAUCUGUGGGAGGAAACAUCCUCCAAGGACCCGACAUGUCAAGAAAUUCGACGUCACUUCCUGUGUUUAUGUCAAGGAGAUCGUUGCAAUACGCACGACAUGACGUCAUAUAUUUCCGGAAGUGAUCGAGAGACAAAAAGACUCUAUAUUGGUGGAUUGUGCUUUUCAAAUGUGUAUCAUUCACCGCUUUCUAACAAAGUAACAUGGGGUAUGAAUACACUUUAAAACGCUAGGUCUUAGAUAAGUGUUCUGUAGAGACAUUUUAAGACACUGUACGAUCACUGUGUGCACCAAAAUCAAACAAACAGCAAGGUCCCGUUCCACAAAGUAUCUAAGCGCUACGGUGAGGUGAGGUGAAAUUGG